rnacentral:rRNA from 1 species
AGUGAACGCUGGCGGUAGGCCUAACACAUGCAAGUCGAACGGCAGCACAGUAAGAGCUUGCUCUUACGGGUGGCGAGUGGCGGACGGGUGAGGAAUACAUCGGAAUCUACUUUUUCGUGGGGGAUAACGUAGGGAACCUUACGCUAAUACCGCAUACGACCUACGGGUGAAAGCAGGGGAUCUUCGGACCUUGCGCGAUUGAAUGAGCCGAUGUCGGAUUAGCUAGUUGGCGGGGUAAAGGCCCACCAAGGCGACGAUCCGUAGCUGGUCUGAGAGGAUGAUCAGCCACACUGGAACUGAGACACGGUCCAGACUCCUACGGGAGGCAGCAGUGGGGAAUAUUGGACAAUGGGCGCAAGCCUGAUCCAGCCAUACCGCGUGGGUGAAGAAGGCCUUCGGGUUGUAAAGACCUUUUGUUGGGAAAGAAAAGCAGCAGGUUAAUACCCCGCUGUUCUGACGGUACCCAAAGAAUAAGCACCGGCUAACUUCGUG